UUGUGUGGUGAGGGUCAAGAUUCACUUCUGUUUGUCCAUAUAUUUUGUGAUUGACAGCCACCAACACUGGUUUUGCCUAUUAAAUUGACUAUAAAUAAUUUGAAUUGAUCCUGGACCACCAAUCUGAGGCACCACUGCAAGUUUCCUGAGGCACCCCAGCGUGCAACGGCACACCAUAGAACCUCUGCAUUAUGGUAUUCAGUGAUGUGAAAGAUCAGCGGUCACCAUGGCGACAGUCCCGACAACUCCGCUGGAUGGCCCAGAAGACCCUACUUCCUGUUGGAUAGGCGGAAGUGAUGGAUCCGGAAACUGAGUGGCGGCGUGUUGGAACCGCCUGGAGGCGCGCUGAAUAAGUCCCAUUGUGGAGGUUGAUAGCGCUGUCUGGAAGUAUCCUGGAAUGAAAACAACUGUUGCCGGGUAAUUGUGAAAUGCAGGCUGCAGAAGUGAAU